rnacentral:misc_RNA from 1 species
UGGUCAUGCUAGUACUGUCCGUCGUGAUGCACCACCUGGUCAAAAGGUUGGUCUUAUUGCUGCAAGGAGGACUGGUCGUCUUCGUGGACAAGCUGCCGCCACCGCUGCUAAGGCUGACAAGGCUUAAAAAGUUUACCUUAUCAUUGUUUUUACGUAUUUGUUUCCGGAUCAGUCUUUUAAACUAUUUAAGUGCUGAAAUUAUACUAAAUUUUGGUGGGAUAUUAAGUAAGAAGUUUUGUUAUCUAGA